rnacentral:rRNA from 1 species
CUCAAAUCAGGUGGGACUACCCGCUGAACUUAAGCAUAUCAAUAAGCGGAGGAAAAGAAACUAACAAGGAUUCCCCUAGUAACUGCGAAGUGAAGCGGGAAGAGCUCAAAUUUAAAAUCUGGCAGUUUUUGAAGCUGUCCGAGUU